CUCAUGCGUAAUUUGCAUGUCCGUAUUGAUUUCAUCGCAUGCAUUUCUUCGGAUCCAGGUCUUGCCGCAAGGAUCUCCGAUGACUUCAUCAACCAACAGAUUUCCAUCGCUGGAACACAAAUAUUUAACACCACCUAAUGGAAUAGAUUCAGAGGACCUGAAAGUAGAGCUGUUUCUCUUUGGGAUCUAGAGGAAACAAGUGAGGUGCUUUGGGUGUCUUAUAGGGAUCAUGCCAUCUGGAUGGAUCCCAAGGGAGAUGUUCCAGGCAUGUCCCACUGAGUGGAAGCCACUGACCUGGCAAUGUUCAGCCAUGGAAAACGAUGUCUGGUCAGAAACACAAGUGGCAAGAAACCAGAGUCAGAGCGGGGCCUGGAGCCUAUCCCGAAGAGCCUAGGGCACAAUGCUGGGGUACAGCACUGAUAGCAUGCCAGUCCAUCGCAGGAUCAUGUGCUAUGAGUAACUUAGAGAUGCUAAUUAAGUACAUGGCAUGUCUGUGGGAGGAAACAGCCGUAUCUGGAGGAGAACAUGCACCCAAACACAACAGUGACGGGAUGCUAACCCCUAACCCCAGAGCUGUAGGACAGCAGGACUAUCCACCAAGCCACAGUGCCACCACGUAAUCCUAUGUACUACUAGGUUCUGCGUUUGUUUUGAUAGUAACUCAGACUGGAGACUCAUCCAUAUUUCCUGCUGCAUGGCUGAGUGUCAGAGUCGAGACAUGCUAGCUUGUGACUUGUCGUUUCUCCUCC